AUUGAACGCUGGCGGCAGGCCUAACACAUGCAAGUCGAACGAGUGGCGGACGGGUGAGUAAUGUCUGGGAAACUGCCCGAUGGAGGGGGAUACCUACUGGAAACGGUAGCUAAUACCGCAUACCAUCGGAUGUGCCCAGAUGGGAUUAGCUAGUAGGUGGGGUAACGGCUCACCUAGGCGACGAUCCCUAGCUGGUCUGAGAGGAGGACCAGCAACACGGGAACUGAGACACGGUCCAGACGCCUACGGGAGGAAGCAGGGGGGAAUAUCGCACAAGGGGCGAAAGCCUGACGCAGACAUGCGGCGUGUAUGAAGAAGGCCUUCGGGUUGUAAAGUACGUUCAGCGAGGAGGCGUUACUCGCAGAAGAAGCACCGGCUAACUCCGUGCCAGCAGCCGCGGUAAUUC
rnacentral:rRNA from 1 species